UCUUCGUGCAGUGAGUCCCGUUGUGACACCGAAUUCUGCGACCCACCGAAAAGUGUGACCCGAGGGGGCGCUGUUGAAUAAUGUGCAACUCGCGCUCCAGACAUCCACCAGCACGCAAUUUCCGGCGUGUGGGUGGAUGUUUCUGUCUGCAGCGGAAGUGCGUGUGGGUGGAUGUCUGGAGCGUGUGGGUGGAUGUCUGCAGCCAGACCCCUCUCGCAUGGGUAUACCCAGGCUACGGGGAUACUGAACGACGGGAAUCAAAGGGCUGAUCACCUGGAGAGGAGGUGCCAUUGCGGCAUGUUACGGAGAGAGCUGUUCGUCUGCAAUGGCUGUGGUCCUGCGGUGAGCAGCCUACCUCUCACCUAGACCCCUUGAUAGACGCUGGUGGCUGUCCUGUAUUUGUCCAGGUUCCGAAUGGUGCGGCAGGGCGGAUCGCUGACCCUGGCUGCACAUCCAGAGAUCUUGGAGAGAACCUCCAGGUCUUCACGAGGGAGCAGAUCUGGAGAACAGCAAACAUAGACGCUGGUGGCGGUCCUGUACUUGUCCAGGUUCUGAAUGCUGCGGCAGGGCGGAUCGCUGACCCUGGCUGCACAUCCAGAGAUCUUGGAGAGAACCUCCAGGUCUUCACGAGGGAGCAGAUCUGGAGAACAGCAGACAUAGGUUCAGAAAAGAGGUGUACAUUUGUGUGUUCUCGAGUGAGUAAGUUUUCAAGUGAUUGAUUGAGU